rnacentral:lncRNA from 1 species
CAGGCUUGCCAAUGCAUCCAAUUCACUUUCUAGAUGCAGGUUGGUUGAGAGAGGUGGUGUCAAGCUACUCUCAGGACUGCUCAACAUGCAAGCACUCCUCCUGCCAUCCUCUGUUUUUUCUUGUUUUACACCUCCUGAAAAGCUACAUAUUUCAUCUUCAGUCCCAGGUUCUUGCUUGACCUUCACCUGAUCAGAUUUGAAACUAAGACUUGUCUUCUCAGCAGUUCUUCCUGAUGACCCACAGCUGCCUCGACUGCCAGUACUAGAAGUACUUGGGGGUCU